AUUUAGAAGCCUUUUUAGAACUGGAAGCCUGAAACAAGCAGCAGGCAGGUGGACGCCAAAACUGGAGGCCGUAUUCCAGGAUCAGUGUCACUGAUGGAGUUCAUACAGGAUCUCAUGCCAGGCAAAUGUCCUGCUUGGAUUGGACUUAACUUUACAACUCGUGCCAUGAAGUGGACCUGAGCAGAUGGCUUCCCAUUAAAUCAAACACUUUGCAUCUUUCCGCAUGUUAAAUACAUCUGAAGUGUUUUUAAACAUCAGCCAAGCUAAUUGUUUAUCAUUAUCUGCAUUUAUUAUUGCUGCACAAUAAAGCCUCUAACCAGCUCUAACACAGUGCAGCAACAACUUCUAUUGCCUGCCUGCAGUGCUGGCACAGUGACAGCGUAUUUAUGCAAGUUUUGAGUUGCGAAAGUUUGGCCUGUAUUUAUUUAUGUCUGAAUAACACCAAAAGUUAGAUUCUGACUGUGUGGAGACAUCAGCUAUUA